GCCUCUUGGAGGCUGACACAUUUCCAAGAGGAAACUCCUUUUAGAUGUCAAGAAAAUGACGGGAGCACAAGAAGUAAGCACCGGCUAGCUCCGUGGCAGCAGCCGCGGAAACAAGGAGGGUGCAUGCGUUAUUCGGAAUCACUGGGCGUAAAGGACACGUAGGCGGGUUGUCAAGUCUGAUGUGAAAUCCUACAGCUUAACUGUAGAACUGCAUUGGAAACUGGUUACCUAGAGUAUGGGAGGGGGAGAUGGAAUUAGUGGUGUAGGGGUAAAAUCCGUAGAUAUCACUAGGAAUACCUAAAGCGAAGGCGAUCUCCUGGAACAUAACUGACGCUAAGGCGUGAAAGCGUGGGGAGCAAACAGGAUUAGAUACCCUGGUAGUCCACGCCCUAAACGAUGAACACUAGUCGUCGUGAUGCUAGUCAUUGCGGUGAUGCACUUAACAGAUUAAGUGUUCCGCCUGGGGAGUACGGUCGCAAGAUUAAAACUCAAAGGAAUAGACGGGGACCCGCACAAGUGGUGGAGCAUGUGGUUUAAUUCGAAGAUACGCGAAGAACCUUACCUAGCCUUGACAUUGAUAGAACACGCUAAAGAUAGAGUGGUGCCCUUCGGGGAACUUGAAAACAGGUGCUGCACGGCUGUCGUCAGCUCGUGUCGUGAGAUGUUGGGUUUAGUCCCCGCACGAACGCAACCCUCGUCCUUAAUUGCCAGCAGGUUAAGCUGGGCACUCUAAAGAUACUGCCCUCCUUAAGGGGGAGGAAGGUGAAGACCAAGUCAAUUUUUUCUGGGCCCUUAAGG
rnacentral:rRNA from 1 species